AUUGAACGCUGGCGGCAUGCUUUACACAUGCAAGUCGAACGGCAGCGCGGGCUUCGGCCUGGCGGCGAGUGGCGAACGGGUGAGUAAUGCAUCGGAACGUGCCCAGUAGUGGGGGAUAGCACGGCGAAAGCCGGAUUAAUACCGCAUACGACCUGAGGGUGCAAGCGGGGGACCGAAAGGCCUCGCGCUAUUGGAGCGGCCGAUGUCGGAUUAGCUAGUUGGUGGGGUAAAGGCUUACCAAGGCGACGAUCCGUAGCUGGUCUGAGAGGACGACCAGCCACACUGGGACUGAGACACGGCCCAGACUCCUACGGGAGGCAGCAGUGGGGAAUGUUGGACAAUGGGGGCAACCCUGAUCCAGCCAUGCCGCGUGCGGGAAGAAGGCCUUCGGGUUGUAAACCGCUUUUGUUCGGGAAGAAAUCCUCUGGGCUAAUACCCCGGGGGGAUGACGGUACCGGAAGAAUAAGCACCGGCUAACUACGUG
rnacentral:rRNA from 1 species